rnacentral:lncRNA from 1 species
GGGAGCCNUCGUGAUAAGGUUUGGCACCAUUGUUGAGCGNAAGUCGUAUUGGGGGCGAACGUGCGGUGAGGUGACAAGGUCUGAGGCCAAUCGAGAGUGAUGAAGUCGAACGUGACAGGAUGGUAUGAACCGAACGGCGAAGCACUGCAAGUUGCGGACCCAAGAGGACUGAAGGAACCGAAGAAAGCGAANGGUUCGGAAGNAAAC